UUGAGAUGGAAGAUCAAAUCUCCUCAUCUCCGAACAGUGGUUUCUGCUCGAUCGAUGGCUCAGCUUGGUCUGAGGAGAGCGGUUGGACCAUGUACUUUGAAGACUUCAUGGCAUCAUGCAGUGGGUCUUCUCUGAUCUCUGAUGCUACUUCGUAUGUUGCAUGGAAGCCAUCGGAGAGCGACGGAUGCAGGAAGCUGCGUUUGAAGAAGAGGAAGCAGAGGAACUUCGUGGAUGAUGACGACCCUUUGGGAGAUACUGCUACCUCUCCUUUUGAUAGUUUCAAGGAUUGUGAAUUAAGGGACGUAUCUACGAACAGAAGGAAGAAAGAUGAUCCCAGCAUAUCUUCGCAGGAGGAGGAUACUGGUUGCAGAAAUGAAUGGGAAUCGGAAAACGAAAAUGUAUUUGAAUUCAUAGAGAGAUCGAAUAGAUGUACAGAUCUGAACAAAAGGGGGCUUUGCUUGGUUCCAUUUUCCCUCUUAGGAUGCUAUCUUCGAUAAAUAUCAUUUCGUUGCCAAGAGAAAAAAAUACAAAUA